AACACCAACACAAAUAUAAUAAUAACCCACCGACCCCACCCACCAAUUCUCUCACAUUCUAGUUUCUUCUUUCACUUUCUCUACUUCCUCCCCUGUUUCACGGUUCUUCCAUUUCCCCAAUUUCUAUUCAUCUUUCAAACACAAAUGUCAGCCAUGCACUCAAAAGAAAACUAACAAACCUUUAUUAUAAGUUCCUCAUACUUCUACAAAUAGUAUUGGGUAUAAUUUUGGGAUUAGGGUUAGUGCUCUAAGAGAGGAGAUGAGUACCCACUCUUUGAAAGUUACUUAUUGAGACUUUUGAGAUUCGACAGUUGAUGCUUUAUCUGCUACUCCGGGAGUCGUUAGAGAGAAAAACUAGCCGGUCUUCAUAGUUAUUCAAAGUCAGCUGAGUAGGGGUUUCUAGCAGAUAUUGAGAGUCGUCGGUAUCAUUCUUUUGGUAGGCUUCCUUGAUGAAAUGUUAUUUUGUAUAUGUAUAUUUUGAGUUGAUCGAAUAUCUGCAGCUAUUUUGAGUCUAGGAAUCUUUUGUGUUGAAAUGUAUAAAUUUAAACAUGUAUAUUUUGAAACUUCUGACUUAAUGAUGUAUAUGCUGCAAACAGGUUUUAUUGUGAUUUGGAAAUAUCAUAUUUAUUGUUUGUUAAAUUCGGUCAUUAGGCUUGCCGGACUAGUAUUAGUUCGUGCGCCGGUCACGAUUGGAAUUUGGGUCGUGACAAAGUUGGUAUCAGAGCUCGGUUGUAGAUCCUAAUAGCUGCAGACAUAGAGUGAUAAUAGAUUUUUGUUAGUAAAUUGUGAACCGCGGCACCAUUUACUUGCAAGAAGCUAUUAGCAUUCUAUGGUAGUCUCACUUGUUGUCCAAUCCAAUGAUCUCUUUUGGUCUUUGAUUUAUCUCCCUAUGUUUGUCGUCUUGUCCAAUAUUCAGUCAAUUUUCUUUCUUUUGGUGAGGACGCCACCCACCAUUAGGAUCUCCACUAGAAGCGAAGUUUGUUCCUUAUGGUUUACUUCCCUACCUUAAGACCCUAGUCAAAGAGGUCGUGAUUCGUCCGUACUCGUUAUCGACUUAAAGCAAAUGAUGGAGGAUGUGGCGUUCAUGUCGACGAACGUGGCUUUGUUGCAGUAGUAGUUAGUGUUGAGGUUCCUAGAGGAAGACGAAAAUUGAUAUAGGUAUUGCAACAACUUGUUGUGAUUGUUGUUGAGAAGUAGCUGGAUAAUAAUAAUCUAGGAGGGUGGAUGCUGCUGUAGCAAAAAUUCAUGAAAGUUAAUCCCUUACCUUAUCCAAGUCUAGUGUGUGUGACGAUCCACCGAAAGUCAUCGACAGUCUAUAGAGGUUAUGCAAGGCAUCAAGAUGCUCAGAUAUAAGUACGGUGGAGUUGACAUCAUUAAACAUCAUUAAGUUGGAGGGUGUAGAAUAUGACUAGUUUAAUACGCUUACACAUGGGAAACAAUAGGGAUCACCUUCCUUCGCAUGGAUUGAUAUUUUUCAAUUAUAUAUGGCUCGUGUUCUUCUAGAAAGUCUUAGAGAUAAAUUAGCUUAUGACUAUGAGCGAUUGAAACAAACUGAGAACAUGUCAGUUACGGAGUACAAUGUUAAUUUUUACUUAGCUUUCAAGUCACGCUCCUCACCCUAUAUCAUAGAAGAUAUGCGUAAAGUGGUUCAUCAGAGAAUUAAGGGAAUACUUAAAUUGAUCUGUGGCUGGGUCUAACUGUGAACUUUGCGGAGCUUUCGAGCUUGACACUUCAUAUUAGGCAACAAAAGCUUAAGUGCAGCAGUAAACAAGGUUCUCGCAAGAAACUAGUUGAAUGAUCAUAUUGUAAUUAUUCUUAUCGUGGUGAAGUUAUAUUUAGUCAUUAGGGACAACAAAUAUUAGUAUCAUGAGAGGGAUAAUUCUAGUAGACAAACUUUUGAGCACAAUGUAGAGUCGUAGAUUAGGUCAUGGGGCAUAUAUAUAAUUCAUUUUUUUCCUUAGAGUAAUUUUGAUUCUAGAGUGGUUAAGUAUAUCAUAUCAGGAGGGAUUGUCCUUGACAGCUAAGACACAACCAUUAUCUAAUCAUUUAUUAACACCGAUAGCUUUAGUAUAGAUUUUGAUAAGAUUUGAGUAUAAAUUCGCCAUCCUUCCAUCAUGCUACAUUAGCCUAUUAUAACUAGGCAAUAAAAGUUGAGAUAUUGGGUAGUCGCUUUUAUCCUUUGCGAGUAGAACGUGAUUUUGUACCAUGUAAUUUAACCUCUUGUUUAGGAUCUAACAAGUUAUUAAAAAGGGAGUUAUUAUGGAUAAUUAUUCUUGAUUAUGGAUAUACAAGUGAGUGAAAAAAAAAUUAUAAAUAGUUCCAGAAACGUGAGUUUCUUGGUGUUUUCCUGAACAAUUUCCUAGGUUGCCACCUGAUAGGGAUAUUAAAUUCUCUUUAAACUUGGUUCCUAACCAUCAUCCCAAAAAAAAAUUCACACCUCUAGGUGUUAGAGAGCAUGUACAAGACUUUCUUAAGUAGACCUUUAUUCACCCAAAUUAUUGUCCUUGGGGGAGCACUGAUAUAGUUUGUAAGGAAGAAAGAUGGGUUCAUGCGAUUAUAUGUGAUUUAUAGGCAAUUGAAUAAUGUGGUAGUAAAGAGUAAAUAUCGUUGUUGGAUCAACAUUAAAAACUCGAUGUUUUUCUAAGAUUGAUUGAGGUAUGGGUGUCACCGGAUGAAGAUUUAAGAGGGAACAUAUACCGAAGAUUUAAGAGGUAUGGGUUGCACAUGCUAAUAGUAUUCUGAAAUUCUGGUUAUGCCUUCUGUUCUUACUGAUGCUCCAACAACUGUUAUGAAUUUUAUGAAUUGGGUUUUAAACCAUUCUUAGAUGAUUUUGCAUACUGAUUGAUGACAUUCUAGUUGAUUCGAUGAGUAAAGAAAGACAUGCUCCAAACUAUUCCACGCAUGAUUUGAAUACGAAAGAAGUGAAGUUUUUGGCUCUUAAGCUUUUGGGGCAUUAUUAAUAUGACAAGAUUUUGUUAGACUUUUGUUGACCACAAAAGGCGUUAGUAUAGCUUAAAUUUAAGAUGAAUAAGGUGGAUGAAGUUCUCUUGAAAAUUUUGAUGGUAUGGACUUGUAUUACCUCGGAAUGACAGAUGCUGUUGUAAAUGCUUAAGUAGAAAGUUCAUGAAUAGUCUUUUUGAUAUAGCAGAAAUGAAGAUGCUCCUAAUUGAAGAACUACAAGAACUUGUUGAAAGUGAAAAUUUAAUUCGGGAUUGAUCAUUCAAGAACAGUUCUAUAGCUUGAGUAAGUUUGUUGCAUCAUGGAGGCUCAAUCAAGAUUAAGAUUUGGUAAGGUUGAUAGAUAACGUGAAGAACAAUAAAGUUGCAAACUUCUGAGUUGAUUUCGUUGGUGUUCUAGUUGAAGUCUAGACUUUGUGUCCUAAAUGUUGGUGAUUUAAGGAGAAAAAUAUUAAGAGGAAGUUCAUCAUUUGUGUUAUACAAUUCACCUAGAAUGGCCUAAUAUUGGAGAAAAUUGUAGAGCUAGAAAUGGAUGAAGAUGGAUGUAACAAAUUUGGUCUCUAAGUGCGACGUGUGCUAGCAAGUAAAGACUGAGCUACAAAGUCUUGCAAGUUUGCUUCAACUUGUUGAAACACAUGGAUUAAAGUGGGAAUGUAUUGUUGUGGAUUUCAUUUUAGGGACUCAAAAAGGUUAUGACUUAAGGUGGGUGAUAUAAAUCAAUUGACAAGUUUGCAAAAUUCUUAUAAUUGAAUAUUACUUGUAGUACAUUUCAGUUUGGUAUGAUUUAUUUAGAGACGGUUGUUUCUUAGUCUGUUGUGCUGAUCUCUACUAUCUUUGAUAGCAAGGCUUAGUUUACUGCUCUAUUUUGGAAGUUUUGAAAUCUGAAUUGUGAAUAUGUUUGAAUAUUAGUACAACUUUCAUAUUAAGACUGAUGGUCAAUAUGUGAAAACUAUAUGAAACAUAAAUGAUAUGCUCUGUGCUUGUAUUCUUGAUCUUAGAGGGCGAUAACAUUGAUGUUUGCCUAUGAUGGAAGUUGCAUAGGACAACAGUUAUCAAUUUAGUAUUCAGAUGUCACUAAUUGAGGCUUUAGAUGGUGUAGGCUUACGGUAUGAUGAUUUAUAAAUGGAAAAGUUAGAGUAGAUUCACGGUAUCAUUUAAAAGGUUGAGUUGAUGCAAGAUUGUUUAGUGACAAUUCAGAGAGAAAAAAAAAUAAUAAAAUCUUAUUCCGAUAAGAGGCGUCAUCCCUUGGAGUUCAUGGUGGGGGAUCAUGUGUUCGUACUUGGUUCGUUUCACUAAUGUAGGGUGUUCUAUGAUUUGACAAAGGGAAAAGCUAGUCAAAGGUUCAUCGGCACAUUUGAGAUUUUGAAAAGUCAAGCUUGUAACUUAUCGUUUGGUACUUCCAUCGGAUAUCUCAAGAGUUUGUCUUGUCUUUCAUAUUUUUAAACUUCGGAAGCACAUUAUACCUAUCUCGUGUGAGUAGUGAUGAAUAUGUGUAGUUAGACGAGAAUUUGUCUUGCAUCGAUCAUUUGUCAACUACAGUCAACUACAAUAGAUAAGAAAGUGAGAUGUUUAUGCUCAAAAUAUAUUGUUUCAGUAUAGGUCCUUUGGAAAUAAUCGUCAGGUGAAUAAGCAACUUUGGAGCCGGAGGUGAUCAUGUGAGCAAAAUAUCCAUACUUAUUUGAAAUCAAAGUUAGUCGUAUAAAUUCGAGGACGAAUUUUCUUUAAGGGGGGAAGAUUGAAACGCACCGUUUCAUUUUUCUAUAUAAAAAAAAAUAAAUAAAUAAAAAAAAUAACACCAACACAAAUAUAAUAAUAACCCACCGACCCCACCCACCAAUUCUCUCACAUUCUAGUUUCUUCUUUCACUUUCUCUACUUCCUCCCCUGUUUCACGGUUCUUCCAUUUCCCCAAUUUCUAUUCAUCUUUCAAACACAAAUGUCAGCCAUGCACUCAAAAGAAAACUAACAAACCUCUAUUAUAAGUUCCUCAUACUUCUACAAAUAGUAUUGGGUAUAAUUUUGGGAUUAGGGUUAGUGCUCUAAGAGAGGAGAUGAGUACCCACUCUUUGAAAGUUACUUAUUGAGACUUUUGAGAUUCGACAGUUGAUGCUUUAUCUGCUACUCCGGGAGUCGUUAGAGAGAAAAACUAGCCGGUCUUCAUAGUUAUUCAAAGUCAGCUGAGUAGGGGUUUCUAGCAGAUAUUGAGAGUCGUCGGUAUCAUUCUUUUGGUAGGCUUCCUUGAUGAAAUGUUAUUUUGUAUAUGUAUAUUUUGAGUUGAUCGAAUAUCUGCAGCUAUUUUGAGUCUAGGAAUCUUUUGUGUUGAAAUGUAUAAAUUUAAACAUGUAUAUUUUGAAA